UGUGUAUGAUGAAUCCUAUAGCGGAAUCCGAUUUUAUAAUGCGGAUAAACACCUUGGAGAACUGAACACUCA